rnacentral:rRNA from 1 species
AUGAACGCUAGCUACAGGCUUAACACAUGCAAGUCGAGGGGAAACGACAUCGAAAGCUUGCUUUUGAUGGGCGUCGACCGGCGCACGGGUGAGUAACGCGUAUCCAACCUGCCCAUCACUUGGGAAUAACCUUGCGAAAGUAAGACUAAUGCCCAAUGAUAUCCCACGAAGGCAUCGGAAUGGGAUUAAAGAUUUAUCGGUGAUGGAUGGGGAUGCGUCUGAUUAGCUUGUUGGCGGGGUAACGGCCCACCAAGGCAACGAUCAGUAGGGGUUCUGAGAGGAAGGUCCCCCACAUUGGAACUGAGACACGGUCCAAACUCCUACGGGAGGCAGCAGUGAGGAAUAUUGGUCAAUGGGCGAGAGCCUGAACCAGCCAAGUAGCGUGCAGGAAGACGGCCCUAUGGGUUGUAAACUGCUUUUAUAAGGGAAUAAAGUGGGUCACGUGUGACUUUUUGCAUGUACCUUAUGAAUAAGGACCGGCUAAUUCCGUG